AUUCAAUUGACGAGUCCGAAAUAGGACGAAAGGUGUGUCCUGGAU
rnacentral:hammerhead_ribozyme from 1 species